GUUUAUGUAGUCUUACUCUUCUUUUCUGCCAUUCAUUAAAUGGAACCAUUGCUACAAAGAAAUUCUUGCUGGGUUCUGUACAUGUGCAUGUUUCAAGAAGAAUUGUGUUUAUAGCAGUCCAGUCAUGAUUACAGAAUUUCCUUACAUUUUAAUAUAUAAUUUGCCUCUCUUUGCUGCAGGUGGAACACAGGAAUGGGGUGGAGGAGGGGGUAGACUGCUUUGGAAUGUCAGUCAAAAGGGUGGGAAAAUAUAAUCGGGGCUGGGGCUAAUGCAAAGCACUUGGUGAACCUGCCUUGGUUAAUGGACAAAGCCAAAAUUUAAGCAGGGAAAUUGAGACUGGAGCUGCCUAGAGGGAAAGCAAAAAGCCUAGUGGUGGGACAAGGAGAGUGCAAAACUGAGGCACGGAGCCAAGAAUGUGGAUACUAGGAGGGGAGUCUGAACAUCAGCAGAUUAGGACCAAUGAAGAGUUGUAGGAAUUGAACCCCAACAAUGAUGUAGAUGUCAGCUGUCACUUGUGAUUUCUUACUAGGGAGUGUAAUGCUUAUACUAGCCAUGAAGGAUUUGUUAGGAAAUGUGACCUAUUAAUUUCUAAGAGACAUUGAGAUAAUUAUGAUCUUUUGUAUAGACUAUGUACUAGUUCUUCUUUCAGGUUUUAUUUUUUUUUUGUUAGUAUGUUUUCAUCUUAGAAUUUUCUUUGCUGUAACUCUUUUCUUAUCCAGAAAUGUUCUUAGUCUCUGAUUAUCCCAUGAACGACUGGUGUUCUUUCCUGCCAUUCAGAUCUUACCUUAAAUUGUCACUUCUACCAAGAAGCUUUCCUGACAACACAAUCUAAAGAAUCUGUUUCGGACUUCCUCCAUAACAUCUCUAAUUUUCAGCAUGGGAUCCAUCUGACAUUUCUUCCCUCUUUCCAUUCUUUCUUCACUUCCUCCUUUCUGCCCACCUUUCCUGAUAGAUUUCAAGUUCCAUGAGAGUUAGAACCUUGACUGUCUGAUGUCCUAUGGUAGCUUCAGCACAGAGGAGAAGGAGCCAUUGAAGAAUACUGUUGUCCUAUCCCAGAAGGAGCAAGCGGACAACACUGAUAUCCUGACCACUAACCAUCCAGCACCACUUAAAGAGGUCCCAAAACCCCCGGCUGUCUACCAAUACCCAUCUGUGACCUCUUAGGAACCGAGCUUCACAGCAGGAGGUGAAUGGUGGACAAGCGAGCAUUAUCGCCUCAGCUCCACCUCCUGUCAGUUUUAAAAAGAAUAACAGAAAGAAAGAAGUGGCUGAAACCUAAAUGCCAUAUGGAGAAGACAGCUAAUUGCCACACUCUCCUCUUUGGUCUUUCCUGGUACGCAGCAUACAAGCCCACAGAUUGAGGACUCUGCACUUGCUGUUCUCUCUGCCUGGAGCUCUAUGGCUCCAGAUAGACUCCUGCCAACUCCUUCGCCUUGUCCAAGUUACCUUCAUUAAAUGUCAGCUUAAAUGUGUGCCUACUUUUUGCCCUACCUAGAAUUGCAAGCACCUCUCACCACUGUGCUCCCAUUCUCCUUAACUUAAGCCACUUUUAUUCUCAUAAUAAAGCCACAUAUUUUUUCUUAUUAUAUCAUAAUCGUACUGUAUAAUUUAUAUUUUAUUACUUUUGUUUGUAUACUUAUUGUAUGUUUCUGUUCACAAGGAUGUAAACCCCAUGAACACAGAGAUCUUUGAUUGUUUUAUUCACUGAUUUAUGCCAAAUGUUUGGAACAAUGCCUGGCACAUAGUAGAUGUUUGAUAAUUUUUUUUUUUUCUGAAUGAAUAAAUACAUUUUAGCCAAAUAUGCUGACUCUGCUUGUUUGGUUAUAUUUAUGUGUGUGUGAAUGUAUGUGCAGAAAAAGAAGAAAUUAGUUAAUACCAAAUCUAUAAAAUGGGAAAAAUAAUGCUUACCUUAUAGUGUUGUUAUGAAACUCAACUAAUAUAAGAUAUGUGAAGGGUCUAGCAUAAAAUG
rnacentral:lncRNA from 10 species